rnacentral:rRNA from 1 species
CACGUAGGGGCCAAGCGUUGUCCGGAUUUAUUGGGCGUAAAGCGCACGUAGGCGGUCCAGCAAGUCGGGUGUGAAAGCCCAGGGCUCAACCCUGGAAGUGCAUUCGAAACUGCUGGACUUGAGUACCGGAGAGGGUGGCGGAAUUCCCGGUGUAGAGGUGAAAUUCGUAGAUAUCGGGAGGAACACCAGUGGCGAAGGCGGCCACCUGGACGGAUACUGACGCUGAGGUGCGAAAGCGUGGGUAGCGAACGGG